UCCAAAUUUUCACAAACCCUAAAUCUGUGCUCUUCAUCUGCUUCUCUUUUCUUUGCAAUCUUAUACUCUAUCCUCCACCGCUUCAUCGCAAUCCUCACAAACUUUGUUUCUUUUUGAUCGAAGUAUGGAAGACAAUGAUGGUGGUGUUUAGGUUGGAGAAACGACGAUGUGAGCAAUGGUCGGAGACGAAGGGGAUUCAUAUCACUCGAUUAUGGUUUUGUAUUGGUACACAUUGGAUACGGGAGCAGCACAAGCGAUGAAGAGAAUUCCACAAAUCAAGUUUGUACAACAUCAUUCUAAGCCUUUUGGUGCUACUUAAUGUAUGGGUACUUAGAGAGCUUAGAUGAAGAAACAAAAAGGAGCUGUAACUUGCAUCUGUUGAAGGAAUUGGAGCCAAAUUAUGUUGAAAAGAUAGUUUAAGGAUUAUUUGAUUAUUGUAUGUAAGGCAUGUAAAAACGGGUCGAGUCAAAUAAAUUUGAUUAUUUUGUUUUUCUGAAUGCAUGCAGGUUCCAGAAACAUUGAAUGAAGAAGUUCUUGGGAAAAUGAUUACGCCACCAAAGUGUGACGUACCGGUAAUUACAAGAAAUGAUCUCUUUGAAGGGAAAUGUUUUCUGGUUGCCAACAAGAUUUGGUAUGAUGUCUGGUAUUCCUUUUAUUUUCUAAUUAAAAUUACAUAAAGAACCAGUGAAUCGAACAUGUUUAAAGUAUAUCACAAGCACGUCUCUGCAUUGUUGUCAACAUUCUACUAUGGUAAAAACCGAUACCGGUGGUCGUUUUAAUAUGCAGCCAUGUAUAUUACAUGCAUGGAGAUGCAUACAAGGAAGGCAGAAUUGAUGCUACAGGUAAGCAUUCAUUAUACUUAUCCUUAAUUAAGAACGACCUCUUUUGAAAUAUAUUGAAGUUUUGAGGAUCAACUACAGUUUUAGCAUUUCGAACAAAUUAAACCAUUGAUUGAAAAUUUAGUUUAACAAAACUAACCAUCAAUUGAGCAAUGGGUCUGAGUAUUUGAACAAAUCAGAUCAUUGAUUGGGCAAAUUUGACCAGAGAUGAUGAAAACAUCUUUUUUCACAGUGUUUAAAAGUUAUUGAGUUAAAUAUUAUCUCAUUUUUUAGUAUUCUUAACAAUGAAGACCCUUGCAUAUGCGAUACGUGUAUAUUGCGCAUUGGAUUUUGGUUAUCAGCGAAUUGAGGUUUUGAUGAAUGUAGAGCACUCGAGCAUAUUAGCAAAUCAAAUUAUUCGUUUGUCCCAAUAACAAAUAUCCUGGAUCAUAUAUCUGGUUUCCUCAAUGCUGGCAUGUCUGGUAUGUUUUUCUAUUGUUCCUGUGUUUGUGGCAUGGCUUUUGUAUUCGAGGUAAUCACACGAAGAUCAUUGAGCUGGAUCAUAGCUUUGUUUUACGUUUAUUAAAAGUUUUGUUUUACAAUUGGAUAAAGGUUUGUUUAAAUGUCAGAAGCCUCCUUCUUUUCAUGAACGAUUAGAGUCAUGGAUCUUUUUGUGGAGAUCUCUCUACGACUAUGGAAUAUAUAGCACGAGAUGAUGUAAUUCCAAGAGCUUAUUCCAUCAGGCCAUCUUAAGAACUUUAAGCACAUUGCUUGCCUAAAUCGGCUUUUCCAGGUGAUUAAAGAACACUGAUACUGAGUCAAAUGUUUAAAAGAAUUUAUAAUACAACAUGAACUGUUAUUCUGCAUGUUGCAAGCAUUCAGAAAGUUUACUCAGGGGACGUUAAAGAUGAUGAGACAGAGUAGAAGAAGAUCGUUGUUUUCCCUAAUGAGCUGGGGAAAGUUUAUGAGCCCUGAAGUUAUGCAUUUGUCACAUUGACACUAACGUCUACGGUAUGAAGGUUUGGGAUUCCGGCGAGACUUCAAUUAAUUCCGACGAGUUCUACGAUCUAUAAUGAUGGCUAUAGCAGGAAAAAUUCUAGAUGGCCAUAGCAAGUAAUCUAUGUAAUGUGUUACUUUUGUAUUUAUAUUAUUUAUACACUUAUUGAUAAUGUAGAUUAACUUUUCUAACCCGCGAAGUUCGCGGGUGAUAACCUAGUAUAUAUAUAUAUAUAUAUAUA